rnacentral:rRNA from 1 species
UACGGAGGAUGCAAGCGUUGUCCGGAAUUAUUGGGCGUAAAGAGCUCGUAGGCGGUUUGUCGCGUCUGCUGUGAAAACUCGGGGCUUAACUCCGGGCCUGCAGUGGGUACGGGCAGACUAGAGUGCGGUAGGGGGAGACUGGAAUUCCUGGUGUAGCGGUGAAAUGCGCAGAUAUCAGGAGGAACACCGGUGGCGAAGGCGGGUCUCUGGGCCGAUACUGACGCUGAGGAGCGAAAGCGUGGGGAGCGAACAGG